AAUGAACGCUGGCGGCAGGCCUAACACAUGCAAGUCGAACGGUUCCUUCGGGAUUAGUGGCGGACGGGUGAGUAACGCGUGGGAACAUACCCUUUGGUACGGAAUAGCCUCGGGAAACUGGGAGUAAUACCGUAUGUGGUCGCGAGACGAAAGAUUUAUCGCCAAAGGAUUGGCCCGCGUUGGAUUAGGUGGUGGGUGGGGUAAUGGCCGAACAAACCGACGAUCCAGAGCUGGUUUGGGAGGAUGAUUAGCCACACUGGGACUGAGACACGGCCCAGACUCCUACGGGAGGCAGCAGUGGGGAAUCUUAGACAAUGGGGGAAACCCUGAUCUAGCCAUGCCGCGUGAUCGAUGAAGGCCUUAGGGUUGUAAAGAUCUUUCAGGUGGGAAGAUAAUGACUGUACCACCAGAAGAAGCCCCGGCUAACUCCGUGCCAGCAGCCGCGGUAA
rnacentral:rRNA from 1 species